UUCACCUUCUCUGGCGUUACAGCGUCCUCCCACGCUCACGCCCGGAGGCGACACGGGCCCACAACAGGACAGGGAACCCCCCUGUCGGUUCCCCCACCCCACCCCCGAACACGGUGAACGCGGGCCGGCCUGGACAUUCGGGGCGACGAAAACGAAAGUACGACCGAGACCACAGGCAGCUGGGAAAACAGGCGAAUCAAUCGCUCACGGGAAACAAAGAGCGUGUCUGACCGUUCAUCGGUGACAGGACUAGGUGGGGGGCCAGGGGCUUCUGCCACAAUUAGGCCAUGUUUCAUGUACAUUGGUGUUUAGCCUGCACGUAUGUCUAUAAGAGUGUUGGAUGUUGGAUUCCCCUGGACUGGACUUGGAGACAAUUGUGAGCUGCCAUCAACAGAACCCUGAUUAAGGCAUUAGAUUGGCCUUGUUGGAGGAAGUGUGGUCAAGACACAGCCUCAUGUCCAUCCACUUCCUGCUGCCUUCUAAUCAAAUUGUAGCCAGCACCAUGUGUGUCUGUAUGCCAACAUGCUUCUGCCGUGAUAAUGAACUAAACAUUUGAAAAUAUUCAAAUAAAUAAAUGUUUUCCUGUAAAA